rnacentral:lncRNA from 1 species
CGGACACACGAUAGGAUAAAAUAUUUAUUUUAUUUAGUAAUAAAAUAUUCUAACUGUUUAUUAUGUAUUUUAUGAAAUUUUUGAAAUUUAUUGAAAAAAAUACGUACUAGUUUAAAAAUUAGAGGAUUUUGAGUUGUGUCAUGGACAGGAGAUUUUAUAGUGCUGAUAUUUUUUUCUUACCAUAAUACGGUACGGUGGAUACGACCAAUAUUGAUGGACACUUCAACUCUUUCUGCGUCUCAAAUACUUUUUUGCAUAAAAAAAAUUUGGAUAAUUUUUAAAUACCACUCUUGGUUUUACACUUUCUCACUUUAGUACCCUAUGGUUUAAAGUGUGUCAAUUUAAUAUUAUGUGGUUUCAUUUUUUUUUCAUUUCGUCAGCUCCUUAGUUAACUUUUCGUUAAAUCAUAUACCAAAAACUUUAGAUAACCUAUCUAUAGUUUAUUGAAUAUUCACUUUAGUACUCUUUAGUUUUAACUUUGUUACUGAUUUAACAAAAAAAAUUAGUAAAAAGAAUAACAAAAAGAGAGAAAUAAAACCACGGGAUAUGAAAGUAAUACACUUUAAACCGCAAGGUACUAAAGUGAAAAAAAAAAAUGCGAAACCAUAUGGAUGGUAUUUGAAGUUUUUCCAAAGAAAUUAAAUAAUAUUUCUGUAUUUUAGUCUUGUAUCUAAUAGAUCUAAAAAUUU